rnacentral:lncRNA from 1 species
GAGACCAUGCACCUGUCCCCCAGCCUCCUCCCCGCCCAGCAGCCCACCAUCUCCUUGCUCUACGAGGACACUGCUGACACACUGAGUGUUGAGUCGCUGACCCUUGUCCCCCCCGUCGAUCCCCACAGCCUUCGAGCCCUCUCUGGCAUCUCCCAGCUCCCCGCAAUGGCUGCAGCAGAUUCGGAGACCCCAGCUGAGGGUGCUGUAAGCCCAGAGCCUGCGGGCCCCACAGAGCACUGAGUGGGCACCAGAAAUCUCCUUUUGUGUGUGUGGCCCGCUGGCAGGGACCCCUGUGCAGUUUGUGACAGCAAGACACACUGGGAACACCCACAAUUCUCCACACCCCUGAAAACUGUCCUUUAUACCUCUCCCUACAAGACACCAAGCAAGCACUCGUUUGCUCUGACCUCUUGCUGAGCGGACUGGGAUCCUAGCGACAGCCUCCUGUGACAGACAUGGCAUUGGCCACCUCAGAGGGGUCUGGGGCCCUGACCCAAGGGGCAGGACCCACUGGCUCCCUCCUUCAGGCAGCUCCUCUGUUUUCUCUCCCAGUCUGCACAGAAGCGGACAAGGUUACUUUGGAUAGAAAUCUGUGGAGAUGCAAACCUAGGUAAACAUCUCUUUGGGCUAUUUAUUUCUGUUUUGGGAAACAGAUGAAGAGAUUUAUUUUAAAAGAAUCUAUUUUGGGGGAGGGGCAAAAAAAAAAAAGUCCUCAACCAUAAGGCUCGGAGUCACAUUAGUGUCAGCUGUGAAGAUUCCCAUCCUUAGAACUUCUCCAUGUUUUUAUUCUGAAGUUGUGGGUGUCGCAUCCUCCGUCUUCCUGAGUGAUUCUUCUUUCUCUCUCCCCAACUCUGCAAGCCUCUGAGAUGAUGAAGCCUCUCCCUGAAACACGGAGGCACUUUCAAACCAAGUGAGAGACCUGGAUAUGCUCAGGUUGCAUGGGGUGAGGAGGCCAGAAGCCUCUGCUCCCACGUGACCUGAUGAUUCUGCUCCCUGCUCAGGAUGCCACCUUCUCUUCCUUCUCUCUUCCUCCAAGAAAGAUCCAUUGACAGGAAUCAAAGGAUUUAAGGCACAGAAAGUCAUGCUCAGAUGUAAUCAGCUUCCCAAGAUGCAAGUGGAUGCCCAGCUAGGGGCCCAGCUGCAAAACAGGUGACCAAAAGCAGAAUCCCACCCUUUCCCACACAAUCCUUUCCCUUGCUGCCACCACACAGCUUAUUUAUGAAAACUCCAUAUUUCUAGGCAUGUGCCAGCAAGGACCAGAUCUGUCCCAUGUGGCCCCAGCCUUCCUCUGUGUUCACCAGCCAGGUCACCACCCCAGGCUCCAUGGCAAUGCCCUCUAUGGCUCUCCUGUAGAUUUGGCCUCACAGUUUCAGUAUCCAUCAAAGGAGAGAUACACGGGUACCCCUCAGACAUGUGUCACUGUCUACUCCUCGUUAGACCUUGACACUCUGUUAGCUGAUGUCACUGCAAGCCCCAAUGCUCAGUCUUCCAAGGGGCCCUGGGAAGGUAGUGAUGCCCAUGUGUACUGGCUUCUCUGGUCUUUAAAAGCACUCCUGAAACAGAAGGCUGGGUCAGGAAGUGAACCACCCUUGCCACCCCAAAGGCCCUGGCAAAGAAGGGCUGUAGGACACUUAGCCCCUGGGAAGAGAGGAGAGUGAUGGCCACGGAGAACUAGAGCUCUCUGGACCCCACAGCCAACCUUGGUUGUUUCUUGCUCAUUUGCAGGGAGGGGUAGACAAAGGAGCAGGCUAUCCCUGUCUCUAGGACAACUGUACACUACGGGUUUUGAAAUGACAGUUGCUAGGGCAGCGUAAACGUUAUACAAUUCAAGUGACUCUCCCCCCUACAGUGUGGUCUUCAGAGAAAAGCCCAUACUGUACAGGUCGCCCCAUCCUUCUGUGACUAGCUUCUUUCUUGCCAUCCAGAGGUUUCAAGGAAGGGAAAAGAUUGCAUCCAAGGUGGUCAGCAAACCCUGAGAGGGUAGCUGCUAUGUAAAAUUCACCAAUAACAAGCCUGUCCCCACAGCUGGCUCCCAAAGGGUUCUUGCAGCCAGGAGCCUAAGACAUACCUCCAGGUGAGCAAAGAUGGACUUCCUAUGACCAGAGUUAUGACCCAUUGCUGAUGAAGGGUGGGGUCCUGGAAGAAGCAACAGGACCUCGGGACCCAGAAGGAGGACACUUUCUCACCUAAAUCUUGGUGGCAAUGGAUACAACCCAGUCUUCAGGAGCACUCUGCUAACUUGGCAGCUGUGCUCUCCAGACAGACCUAGCCAGUGAGAACCCACUGAGUCUCAGUAGGACUAAGGGAUACCAGGUCCAGUAGUCCCACAGCUCCUGACCUGGAGGUCCCAGAGUCAGCCUCCAAAAUCAUUGUCCCAUCUCCCAGGCCAUGCAUUCUAUGUCUGCCCUGGUCACCCUCCAGUCUGCAACUGCCCCAGGGCAGACUAGCAGAGCUGGCCUCUAAAUCCCUCACCCUAGCUUUGAUGGUCACCAUGGAGACGUACAGUACUGCCUCCUCCUUUUUGGAGUCUUAGGCAUGUGGGACACUUCCCACAGGUCAGACUCAGUGUAGCAGUGAGCUCCUUAUUUGGUGGAAGUGGUGGAAGAGGCUUCCAGAGCUGACCCCUCUCUGCUGCUCUACCCACCCAGACAGUUGCAUUGCCAGAAGCUGGCUGGCUGCAUCCUAAGGAUGGUACUGGCUUUCUCUGUGGCCUCUGAAAUGCUGUUGUACAUAAGGCGUGGGUAAACCAAGUCUGAUCUUUUGUAGAUGCAAUAAAUAUAUUUCACACAGUCACAAUGGGCAGAAGGUUAAAUGUUUCUUCCCUCCCUCAGAGCUGAAGCUGUGAGGAAAAAGGGGGGAGAGGGGGGCAAGGAGGCUGAGCUGGGAGGGUCCGGCCAGGGAAGUGCCUGCGCCUGCCAGCAGGACUCAUACUCUGUGGGGACUGAACCUGAGGGGAGGAAUGAAAGCUAGAACUUUCUUGUAAUUUGAAACUUGGCAAUAAAAAGCAAAACCAAUGGCCCAGG